UUUCUUCUUCUUUGGUCGAGUAGCAGACCACUACAGUAACGAAGUUUCACACAAAUUUUUCUUCUUCCUUCGGUGCAGCAGACCACACUUUGAAGCAAACGACAUUUUCUAUUUUCCUUCUUUUUCGAUCAAGUAGCAGACCACUGCGGCAACAAAAGUUCACACAUAUUUUUAUUCUUGCUUUGCAAACCACACUUUUCGUUUCUUUCUCAAAGGCAAAAGGAGAAGCAUCAAUAGCAGAGGCCAUUGCCCAUUUUCGUUUCUUUUUCUUCUAUUUUCCUUUGCUCUCCUCAAUCCAAGUUGGUUAGUCUUUCCUCUUCACACCUCAUUUCAUUUCCCUUCUCCUUUUCCUUCCCCUAUGGAGAUAUUCAAAUUGUAAUUAAUGCAUCACUUUUCUGAGUUAUUGGUUCUCAGGUAAUUUCAUCUCCAUCUAAUUGCUCUAAAUCUCGUGUGCUUCCAUUUGAAAUGUGGGUUUUUGCUAGGAUCAUUUUGAAGUUCUUCGAUUAAUUGUUCUUCAAUUUAAGAUGAUUUUAAAAUAAAAAAAAGGGGGCCACGUGGGAUGUGGUGCCCCUGUGGUUCCCCUGGCCAAUUGUAAAUAGACUUUUUCGUGGCCAAUACUUACUUAUAACACAAAAAUUAUCCGUGGGAAAAACAUACGACUUUUUGCAUAGAUCACGUCCGAUGAGGAAGAAGUCGUGGGAAAAGCAUUUUUUCCCACGAAAAAAAUGAUUCAAGAAUUUCGUGUCGCUGCAAAUAACUCAGUCAAAUUAUACUAUUACAGUCUGCACAUGACUAAUUUGUGUUUGCGGUGAGGAAUUAUGAGAUCUUACGGCGAAAAUAAAUCGCUGCAAAAUUGUUUUAAAUAUUUAAGCCCACUUUCCCCCCUUAUUUUUUUCUUCCCUAGCGGCUAGCUCGAUACUCAUUCUCAUUUCUUCGGUUCUCCUUGGGUUUCUCUACUCACAACAGAACGCACCAUCCGCGCCGCCCUUGCUAUAUAAACAUAAGUGAAGAUGAACUGAUGACUGCAACAUAAUAUGCAUGGAAAUCUACCUGCAGUGUACUGAAAUGAAGUAAUUUGCUAUGUUCUAAGCUUUUACAGUUUUACUACCAAUGUCUUUAUGUUGUAUGUAAUGAACACAUUUCAGAGAGUUCAGAUUAUUUAAGAAUGAUGAUAUUUUCCUAUUCUUCCAUUUUCUUCCGGAAUUAUUUGACUCAGAAAUUUCUUUUUCCUCCAAGUAUAUUGAACAUCUGUGCAUGAACAUCUGUUUAUAUCUAAGUUUAUUUUUUCAAACCCACAUGUCUGAACUUGCACGUCUUAGGAUGUUUGCACAUUGUUCCAAUACUUUACAUAUUGCUCCUGUAAUUUGUUUUCAAUUAUUUUGGAAUAAAAAUUAGUGGAGUGGAGACAGUAAGGUUUUCUUAAAUCUAGCUCCUCUGAUUUGUGUUCAAUUAUUGUGUUCAUGUACCCAAGCUAACUGUAGAAGGUUUUGAAAUUUGUCAAGCUACACCAAAACUUUGUGAAGACAAGGUUAAGCAGUGUGUUGAUACCAGACUCAAUGGAGAUUACCCUCCUAAGGCAGUUGCAAAGAUAUUUUGUUUCCCUUGUUUUUAACCUUUGAAGAAGUAGCAUUUGUUUUCUCUAUGCAUUCGAAUAAUAAUGAUAGAUUUCUAUACAGAUCAAGCAAAAAACCUUAGACAUGCAUUCGUUUUUAACCUUAGGCAAUUGUUUUGCUACUCCAUAUGAUUUGAUGAAUUUACUAUAUCUAACAUGUGUUUUCUCUCUCAUUCUUGAGAUAUCCCCAAUAAAUCUUGUAUCAUAUUCGUGAUUUCAUCUGUAUUUCUCCUUGGAUAUUUGCUCGUGAAGUAAUUUUUGGUCAUAGAUCUUUGUUUUUAUUAUUUGCACUUCAUGCUUUGGCUGAUAUCUCUCUUUCCUGAUUUUAUUGUUAGGUUUUUGGUAAUGAAAAAAAAAAGGCUAGGGGAAUUCUAGUUCAAGCACUUGAGCAUGUCCAACUGUCAAAACCAAUUCUUGAGACCUGUACUCUUAGUUUGUGAAAAUAUAUGUGUUGGGGUCAAUCGGUACUUCUCAUGUCAGAGCACUAUACUAAGAGGCAAAGGAAAAUGUAUGUGUUGUUUCAACUCUUUCAUUCACUACAAGACUUGUGAAUCAUUUUCUUUGUAAUAGGUCUGGUCAUCCAACUAAUAGUUAGUAUUGAAAUUUAGAAGGUAUUGGUUACUAACCUAGCAAGAUGGUUGCUGCAGAGCUCAACAUAGUUAAGGUUGCUACUAUCAAUAUGAUACAUGAUGGAAGAACUGGGGUAAAUAGUUAUGGAAAUAGAAAUCUGAAAUAAUUCUUUUUCCACUUGAAUGUUAUCAUUAGUGCUAAAGCACUAAACUCUUUAUUGUUUUCGGCUUCUUAUUAGGAGUUUUUCUUUAAAACAUGUUAGCACAAUUUUAGAUCUUAUUUUGAAAUUGUUAUUAAUGUCAAUUUGAAUCUCCAAGGUUUGUAUAUAUACUUUUUAGCUUUUAUAAGACAAUUGUUAAUGAUCA